UUCGUAGGCGGUAUAUUAAGUCUGGUGUUAAAGGCAGAAGCUCAACUUCUGUAGGGCACCGGAUACUGGCAAACUUGAAUGUGGUAGAGGUAAAGGGAAUUCCUGGUGUAGCGGUGAAAUGCGUAGAUAUCAGGAGGAACAUCGGUGGCGAAAGCGCUUUACUGGGCCAUGAUUGACGCUGAGGAACGAAAGCCGGGGUAGCAAAUG
rnacentral:rRNA from 1 species